AUUGAACGCUGGCGGCAGGCCUAACACAUGCAAGUCGAGCGGAUGAAGGGAGCUUGCUCCUGGAUUCAGCGGCGGACGGGUGAGUAAUGCCUAGGAAUCUGCCUGGUAGUGGGGGAUAACGUCCGGAAACGGGCGCUAAUACCGCAUACGUCCUGAGGGAGAAAGUGGGGGAUCUUCGGACCUCACGCUCUCAGAUGAGCCUAGGUCGGAUUAGCUAGUUGGUGGGGUAAAGGCCUACCAAGGCGACGAUCCGUAACUGGUCUGAGAGGAUGAUCAGUCACACUGGAACUGAGACACGGUCCAGACUCCUACGGGAGGCAGCAGUGGGGAAUAUUGGACAAUGGGCGAAAGCCUGAUCCAGCCAUGCCGCGUGUGUGAAGAAGGUUUUCGGAUUGUAAAGCACUUUAAGUUGGGAGGAAGGGCAGUAAGUUAAUACCUUGCUGUUUUGACGUUACCAACAGAAUAAGCACCGGCUAACUUCGUG
rnacentral:rRNA from 1 species